CGGCAAAACGUCCGCCCGGGCCCGAGGCGGGCGGAGGCAGCUGUGGUUACGUGCGGGGGGCCGGUGACGCAGUCGCGGGGCGCUGGGACGCGGCUUGCGGAGCCGGCCGGCGGGGGCAGGCCCCAGGCUCGGGCGCGGCGGCGGGACAGCACCUACCUUCCCGGCUUCGGGUCCGGGAGUGCGGGGCGCAGAGCCGCCGGAGCGCUGCCUCCCUCCUUCCUCCUCCCCUCGCCCCCGCCCCGCGGCGCGACACACAAUACUCGCCGGAAGCGGAAGCCGCGCCGAGGCUCGUGUCAGUUGAAGCUGGGGUGUCGGCGGGCGGCAGCGGCCGGGUCUAGCGGUGACUGCGGAAGGAGGAGGAGGAGGGCUGGCGAUGAGAAGCAGCAGGAGGAAUCAAGGACAAGAAGGGACCCAGAGGGGCAGGUGGCUGAUAUGCUGGCGUCCAGGUGACCUGAGGAAUCCUCUGGAGAUAGAGGCCUGCGCAUGCGCGUGCUCGAGCGCCGAAGCCCAUGGCCCGCAGGGCGCUGGACGGGCGCCCCGGCCGGCGAGGCUGUCCCGUCCAGACUCCAGGCCCCGGCUCUGGCCAGGCGCCGCCGCUCCCCGGUGCAGCUGAAAGUCGACGAAGAGGGCGGGGCGAGGGCGGCUUGUGGACUUCCACACUUUUCCUCUCUUCGGGCCAGUCCGGGGAGAGGGUGGCUAGCUGUGGCGGCGGCCAAUUACGUGGCGGACCUGCGGGGCUCAGCUGGCACGUCACUUCCGACUAGUGGAGUUUUAGCCUUUUAACAUUCAAGGAUUAGAGCUCCCUCUUUGCCCACUAGCAGGGCAAUAGCUGGUGCUGAAAACAGUGGCUGCUUGGCGAGCCUGGAUCUCCAAGUGACUCCAAGUGACCCCCUCAGCAACUCCUGAUGAACAGGACUGAAACCAAUAAUAAGGCAAGUCAACCAAAGGUUCUGUGGUAUAGACAAGACAACAAAAGGACAGACUACUUGUGGAACCUAGCAUUGUUCUUCUGCAGCACUAAGUAACAUUUGUGCUCCGUAAGAUCUUUGCAAACCACACACAAGAAUUGCUGGUCAUCCUGCCAAUAGAUGCUGCUCACAGAACCAAAUUUCCUGUGCUGGAUUGUCACUCAUGGGCUUGAGAGUAGGAGACUGGAGACCAAGGUGGCUAGAAUCCAGUUGGGCCUGACGUCUCCCUGUUGAAAGAGCUCCUUGUGGAAUGGACAGCACAUGGCUCCCGUGGUGGAUCUGAUAGUGGUACAGCACCAAGUGAUUCAGGCCUGCCCCGGGCCAUGGCCACAGAAGAUGCUCCCAGGGUCCCCCGUGUACUCUAGACACACUGCAGGCCACCUCUCCCAGCAGGUUCCUAGUCAUGGGCCCUAUCAUCAUGACUUCUGUCCAAGGUACUGUGUGCAGAAAUGUGAUUGAGAUUCAAGUCAGGGCCUCUGCCCUUUUCCCUCCAGAAACAAAACCAAGGUAAUUUAUCCUGAACACACACGGUGAAAAAAGGAAGGAAGGGAGUGGGGAGAAAAAGUCCAGGUCUUACCUGGGAUUCUCUGUCUCCUGCAACAUGAAGGGUUUAGCCUGGGAGGAGGUGGUGAGAACUCUGUGACAAAAAAAAGAAGGAAAGAAUAGUUUUACCCAUGCUGAAGUUAAACCUUCACCUAGAGAAGCAAAAAAAAAAAACAAAACAAAAAAACAAAACACUGUUCCAUUUUGUGCCUCCCUUCCUAGAGUUUUAGCCAAAGGUUUAACUAAGUAAUUGGUUUUACCAUGGCACUCACUCCUCUUAUCCUGAGUCUGUUUGCCUCCCUCCCCAUCAUCCUCCUCACCUCUUUCAGGCAGGGUGGGGAUAGCAGCAGGAGGAGAUUCUGGGAGCCUGGCAACUCCUGUAAGGACUGCAGGACAGCCCCUCUGUGGGGUGCGUGGUGCCCCAUUUGCUGUCCUUCUGAGAAGAAGAAUGCACUGCCUUCACUUUACUGUGUUAGAGUCCAUCCAGACAGUUCUAUCCAAAGAAUAGUUUCUUUUUUCCCCAACAGGCAAUCAGGAAAUGAUUCCUUUCCCGACUACUUCUGUCUAGUGCCUGGGAAUCUUGAGUCAAUCCCUCACUAAGUCAGUGACUAAGGAAAUCUCCCCUCUCUGAGCCUCCUAGUUCAUGUUGCUUAGGGAACCUGAUAUUUUCGUGAAAUCUGCCUACACAUGGGCAACCCAAUAACAGAGCUAAUGGUGGUGACCAAAGUGAACAAAGAAGUAUAGUUGUGUCAGCUUCCUAGUUACCCAUGUGGACAAGUCAGCAGGAUCAGGACAUGAGGAAGAGUAAAUGUGAGACAGUCAUGUGACUUCUGCGAUAAUAUUCUAGAUUUUUAAACCCCGAAAUUUUGCUAAAAUUUUGGUGAAACCCUGAACUUUCUUCGUUGCAUAUACUGGGCCCUAUCUGUACCGUCAUACAACUAUCUCACAUUAAAGCUAUUUUUCUUGAGCACUGAUGAGUAAGGUUGGUAUGUUUGAGUUCCUCAGAUCAACAAAAACUCAUUUUCCUGUAAGUCUUAUGUUUAGUAUUUAAGGAACUAAAACUUAAAUACAUUGUGUGAAAUGGUUGACACUUCACUGAUAAUGAUUUAUUGCUUGGAUUAAUAAAUUUUCCAAAAGUUGUCUUAUUAUGUAGAAUAUGGUUUGCAACCAGCAGCAGAACCAUUAAUCUAUACUGUGAUAAUAUGCACUAUGUAUAAUUGUUUAAAAGCUUCUACUUAAUGAUGUAACAUGCUGUAUUUAAUUACACAUUUGGCUAAACUGUAUACUAAUAUCUGAUGGCAUUUUUCCAGUGUGUUGCUUUUUUCAAAUACUUUAUUGUACAAAGCUGUUCUUAAUAUUUUUCAAGUUUUUCUCUUUGAAUUUUGCUAAUGUUUUCCUUGAAUUAUGAGCACUGACAGAAUGUGCUUAGCACUUUUGGCUAUUCACACAGCUUUUGAGCAUGAUUUGCAUCCAGUAUUGACAUUGCUAGCAAUAAUAAGCCAUCUGUGAGUUUUGUCAAAAGUUAUUGGGGAUUUUUUUAAAUUUUAGAAAUGCAAAUUGUUUCCUUGAACUAACUUAUGCAGUUGCAAAGGCAUUUCCAGUUGUUACGCUUUUUGUACAAUAUCAGGUGUUCCAGAUUAUGAUUCAUUAUUAAUGUCAUUGCUUCCUUGUUCCCUCUGAGAUCCAGAAGAUUCAUGUUUACAAUAUUCAGAAACAAAAAGGUGUCCAAAGCUUGUCACUUUAUUAUUACUGUUCUUAAUAUUCUGUUUAAGUUUUUGAAUUCAUAGAUAUCAAAACACUGCACAAUUAUGAUUUUCACAGGAAUAACAACACACCAACAAUAAGAACAAAAGAAAAGCAAAUAGGCUAUCUAAAAGUUUUGACAAUAUUAGGAUAAUGAUAAAUUGACAGUUUUUCUAAAUCUCACAGUAAAGAAUGUGUAGCAACCCAGCAACACUGCUACCUGUGACCUCAGGCUGCAGCGUCAGCUCUUCCCUGGGUCUCCAGCCUGCCAGUCUAACCUGAAAAUUAUGUGCUUGCCAGCCCCUACAGUCAUGUGAAUGAGCUGGCCCAGACUGGUCACCAGGUCAGUUUCUGUGUGACAUUAAUUCAUUCAGUGUUCAGCAGUCUCUUUGGAGCUGAGAUGUACCUAUCAUCUGCCUUUUGGGUGCUCAGGGUGGAGAACCAGAAAAGUAUAAUCUAAUGUGUAUCCUCAAAGAGCUAACAAUAUGGGGUGGUACCCAUAGGUCUGGGAACACUUUACUGACUCUGUGAGGCAUACCAAGAGACGUCAGAGACCAGUCCCUCCUCAAAUGCCAAAUGAAAUGCAGAGAAAUAGUUUGCUCAAGUUCAUAGGCCAGAUAUCCCAGUGGUCAGGGAGUUUCAUGAAUAAGAUGAAACUUUGCAUGGAACCUGAGGGAUAUGUACCAUUUGAGUGGGUGAAGAAAAUGAAAGAAAGACAUUCCAAGCAGCUAGAAGUUAGGAAGCAGCAGGGUAUGUGAUGGGAUUGAGCACAGUGGAUUCAGAGGAUAGACUGCAGUUCAAUAAUUUUUAGUAAAUAUCUCCCAACUGUUUGGCACUAUUGGAACAAGUUCUUGAAUGCCAAAUGAAGGUAUAAAUCAAUGAGAGGCAUAAUAAAAGCUGAGCAGUGCUUGGCUUUUUAUGAGCUGAUCCUGACAGGAGCAGCUAUUCAACAAAAUUGCCAGGUCGUUGUUACAUAGUCCCUGCCUUCUAGGGGCUCACUGCCUACUAGGAGAGACCAUCUGAAAGUUGGUGCAGUGUGUAACUGUUGGAUUGGGAGUUUUGAGCCUGUGAACUGUGGGACCCCAGAGAAGGAUGUGACUACUCUAGGCAGAACACUUCUACAGUUUAUUAACCUUGAAAUUCAUUAGAGAAUUUUUCAGCAGAGGGUUGGUACUUAAGGUUUGCAUUCUGUAGAACCUCAAGGAAAGCUGUACUAUGCAUAAUGUACCCUCUUAUGUUAAUGUUGUGUACUGUGAUCCUGUUUCAGGGACUUGCACUUAGAAUCUGUUACAGUGAGCACAGAAGCAGACCUGUGGGCUCAUAGUCUUCACCCCCCGACCCAUAUAUACAAGAUGAACAGAGCUGUGGAGGUUAAACAACUUGCCUUAACAACACAGUUCAUGGUAAAGCCCAAGACUGUACCUGCCUGUCCAGUGCUUUUUCAUUUGUAUUCUGGAACUAAGCAUAGACCACUUCCCAGGCAGAGCUGACAGCAAGUAAAGGAGAUCAUAAUCAGGGGACCAGACAACUUUGUCUAAGUGUGAAUGUCACCUAAGGAGCAGCUGUGAGAGCAGAAGGGUGGGGUAGAGGAGCAGACACCCUGAGGGAGAGUCCUUGGGGGUGCGUCUGCCAGACUGACACUGCCUGGCCUGGGCAAUGGAGGGGCGGGCAGGAACCACAGGUAGUGGUGGUGUGGCUACUACAGUUACAACUGCCUGUGCUUGGAUGUGAACCCUCUGCAAUACGCAGUCUCAUUCAUUGCCCUCUACAUUCUACACCGAGUAGAAAUGGAAGGCAAAUGGGUACUUCACAGAGAGACAAGAUCUAAGUGGAGAAGGAAUGCAUCCUGUGGCUGUGGAGAUCCUUGGAGCUUGGAGGGGAAAGCUUGAGCCCCACUGGUAAUGACCUCCCACAGCUCCCCAACUCAGCCCUCCCCACGUCCCCAUUGGGGGCCAAUUCUCCAGAUUGGGGGGACUCCCCCAUAGCUCAUCCAUCAUAGGGAUGUUGGUAUCUGCUGUUGGUUGGGUAGGGCCGAUGUGCUGAGGAUGGCUCCCCCACAAGCAAGAGAUGUGGAUUUUGGGAGCUUCCCAUCUUGCGUCCCUUGGGCAGUGCUACCUGCCCCGUUUUUUUAAGUGUUUGAUAAGAUGGAACUGCUUCCAGGAGACCACUGGGCUUCUUUUUAUGGACUCUUAAAAGUUUCUCACACUUCUGACCUUUCCCACUGGAGAUCUGGCAGCUAUAAAUCUCAGUAACUAACAUUUAUCUAGAAACACUGACUGGUGGCUUGAUAAGAGAAAUUUUGAAGAGGUUCUUACUCUGAAGGAGAAUGUGUGCAUUGAGCUCCAAGGCCCUUUCCCUGGAUCCCUGCUAGGCUUAGGCUGGGUUCCCUCAGGCAUGCUCCCUGCCUUGCCCUGGCAGCAGCCAAAGCAUCAAGAGUUAUGGUGCCUUUGCCUUUGUCAUUGGAGUAGACACCAUUCAACAGGCCUGUGCCUGGGCCCUCUCUGCUUUCUCUUCCACAGAGCCUGCCGGUGCACAGAUGAACUCUAGGGUUCUGGGCCCUGUGGAGAUCACACUGACCUGGUAACAUGAUGAAGAGGGACCAUAGAGCUUGUGGACACCAGGCCUGCAGGAGAUGGAACCUUCUAGAAGGGAGUGGCUGUGGUGGUGCCUUCUGGAGAAUAGCAAAGAUAAACAUGCCAUGUACAGCAUGAGGGGCUCCUCACCCUGAAAUGGGGUAAGGAGAUGAUGUAAGCAGAGCCACUUCUCAGGGAAAGGAGAGGAGGGGCCCUUCUGGAGAUUUUCAGCAGAGGUAGGGCUGAGGCCGGGGGGGUCAGCACCCCUCACCUAUCCUUCCCUUCUGAGAGCCAACUUCUGAGCCCACCAUCCCUAUCAGGGGAAUAUUUCCCAGCCACAAGUAACCACUGACCUGUAGUCACUGGUGUUGUGGUUGCUGGAGCUGUGAUCACUGGGGCUGUAGUUAUAGGAGUUGUGUUCAGGAGGAACAAGAGCUCAGAUGCAGAAUGUUACUCUGGGUUUUCUUAUUCUCACCUACGGAUGCCUCACCCGAAGCAGUUAAACUCCUGCCCCUUUUCCUUCUGGAGCCCCUGUGGAGACUCCUGUUAUGCAGCAAAGCCUGGAAGGGGCCCCUGGCUAUGGAGGGGAGGUUGAGCAGCCACAGGUUUGGUCGGAGGAAGGAGACCUUCUGGACUCCCGGAUCCUCAAUACCCAGGGAAAGCCAGUUCCUGUGGCUGCCCCUGAUACUAGGACCUGGAUCUCAGUUAGCAUUUUUUACUGCUCCUCCAUGAGCUUUCAAGCACAGGGCUACAUGAGGCUCAGGAACUCCCAGAGUGCUGGGGAAAUGGGUCUGUUUCUCAUGGGACAAAAAUUCUCAGGUCCUUCUCUUUCAGAUUCCUAAGUUGCUUACAAGAGAUUAAGUGGGAAUAAGCCAGUGCUUGAAAUGAAUUGGCAAGUCUGAAGGGAGUGUGUAAUGUGCAUGUGUCUCUGUGUGUACAUGUAGAUGUAUAAGCAGGUAUAGGCAUCUGUAUGUAUGUAGAUUUGUAUAUAUGUGUGUGUUUAUAACCAUGUAUGGGUUUUUGUAUAUGUAUGUGUCUGCACGUUGAUGUAUAUAAGCAUAGCAUGUGUGGGUGGGUGUGUGUGUAUUACUCUGUGACUUCCUCAUACUGGCACCACCCUGGCCUUUUCUUGGUUGCCCCCACCCUGUGGGUUGUAAGGGGCAGAACAGCGUUCCACCUGCAGGCAUGGAAGAGGGGUCAGGAUAAAUGUGGGGGAGAGCUGGUCCUCUUCACACUUGGAAUAAGGAAACAGGAGCUAAAUGGAUGGGUCCCUCCCUUUUACAAAAUUCUGCAUUAAUAAAAGUGUCAGUCACUUUCCUAAGGGAUUUACAGGAAUUAAAUCAUUUAAACUUCACAAGAGCCCCAUGACAUAGGGACAACUUUCAACCCCAUUUUUCAGACAAGGAAACUGAGGUCAGUAGGAGGUUCGUUGACACUCAGUAGGCUGAUUCAUGAUUCUAAGGGAACAGUCUGACUGCUAAGCCCAAGUAACCACGCUGUCCUGCUGACCCCCAUAUUUGUCCACUGGCCACCUAUGAGUCACCUCCUGUGGGCUCUGACCAGCUUCCUUUUCUUCUCCAGGCACAGAGACUGAACUGGAGUCUAUUGCAUUUGCCACAGUCCCCAUGAGGGCAACUACAGGGAGCUGAGGGGCCUGAAGUUGAUAGUGGCAGGAGGCAAAUCCCUAGGCAGAUAGGGGCAGGUGCCCAGUGAAAUCGCACCUUCAAGCCAAAAACAGCCUGAAGCCUGAACACUGGGCUGCUUGUUCUGGAUGAAACCCACAACUCAAAUGCUACCUGUGCCUAUAAAAGCCCAAGAUUCAGACACACAGAGGGACUCCCUGGCCUUCAGGUUGGGGUAGGAAACCACCCUCGCAUCCCCUCUCUGCUGAUGGCUGUUUCAUUGCUCAAUAAAGCUAUUCUUUACCCUCUUCA